GGUCACAAAGAGUCGGACACGACUGAGCGGCUUCACCUGGUCUUGAUCCCAAUAGCUGUCACAUAAGCUGCAUGGAUGAGACUGCACUCUUCUGGCCCUUUGUCACUUUCCCUAAAACAGAGGUCAUUGAGUAUGGUAUCAGGAAAUAGAAAGUGAAGCUGCUGACUUCAUUCUUAGUGAAAACUUGUAAGUGAUAGGAAAGUAGGCACCUGGGUGUCAUCUUAUCAAAUUCUCUCCCUUAUAGCCUAAGGAUCUUUCCCCUCUGGUACAUUCAGAUAGACAUGGGUCACCUGGAAACACAGGCUGUAAACACUCUACUUCUAGGCUAAAUAAGUUCAUGGCUUUAGGAGUAAAAGUUUGAAAGCAUAAUGGCAGAGGUUUUUUAAACUCCUCGUUAAAUAUUGUCAUGGGUAGAAAAGAGUAGGGGUGGGGCAGAAAUCAUGGAUAUGAGUGUAUAAAUGAGUGAUGUUUCUGAGGCAGGACCAGAUGCCUUCAUGAUCCAUUCUUUAGGAAGUAUUCGAAGUAUUUAAGGGCCCAUUCCAUUCAUUAAUGAUAAUUUUUGCUAUUUCUGGAGCCAAACCAAAAUACCUUCGAAGAAAGCUGUAGCCUCUCAACCAGCAAGGCUGAAUAUUUUCAGCGAGCUUUUCCCCACUUACCUCUGAGACAAGAGUGACCACUUUGGGAUUAUUCACUUCAAGCCUCCUGAGAAUACAGCUCAGGGUGGGGGGGACUAGUCUCAGGACAUCAGUCAUACUGCCUUACCCUUGGGGACUCAUCAACUUUGACAUUCCAAAUUGUUACCCCUUCCUUACUGGGUGUGGCCCAAACCGCCAGAGGUUGGGGCUGGUACGCUGGAACAUUUGUAUCUCUAUUGCUAUAUUCCUCUAAUAACAAAUUAUGUCAUAUUUUUCUUCUUUACUAGUUUAAGGUUAUACAUUUAUGACUUAGUUUGUUAUAGUUCUCUCACUACAGUAGUAACAUACAUGAGUCUAGGGAUGGUUAUUACUGUAACUCUAUAGUUCAACUCUCCCAAGCUAUUGCUACUACAGUCAAUUUAAAGAAUAGUAUAAAUAUGUGUUACAUUUUCCCUACCCAUGAUGAUCAUCCUUUUUAGACAAUGUAUAAAUAAAGGAAACUGUCCUUGUACUGGAAAAGCAGGCUGCAGAUAUCCUUGGGAUAUAUAAAAGUGACUGUAAUGAUAAACUCAAUGUCAUUAAGCCUUCAAUUAUAAUAAAGUUGCAUGCAUCUCAUAUCAGCUACUGGAUUUUUUUACCUGUGUGGAAAUAAGGCUUUUUAAUAUUGAUUGAGUACUUGGCUAAUUGUUCUAUGGAGUAAUUAGAUCAUUCCUACUGAAUGGCUCUUCUGUGCUUCAAUGGGCUAUAUCUUCUUAGAGAUGUCUAGAGAGAUGAAACUUUUAUUAGGGAUAAUAACUCGCCAAAGAAUCUUUUGGGGGAUAACAAUUCCAUUCAUAGGAGUUGAAUAAUCUAAAUAGUCUGAAAAUUUGUCCCCAAUCUUGUAAAUAAUAUUGCAGAAUAAACACUUAAGUUGCUUAACCCAAAUUACUACAGAUGAAAUAAUAGCUUUGCCUGUUUGUUUGUUUGUUAGUGGGAAAUUACUAACACUUUAUUUUUUACAUAGAUUAACCAGGCAUGGGAGUGGUGAAACUAUCAGUAUCUAAGCAAAACUUCAAAGCAACCUGAGGGGGAACUUCCCUGGUGGUCUAGUGGUUAAGAAUUCAUCUUCCAAUGCACAUGGGUUUGAUCCCUGGUUGGGAAAUUAAGAACCCACGUGCUGUGAGGCAGCUAAGCCCUCGUCUGCAACUAGAGAGAAGCCCAUGUGCCACAAUGAAAGAUCUUGCAUGUCAUAACACAGAUCUGACAUACUGCAACUAAGACCCAAUGCAGUCAAGUAAAACAAGAAUAAAGCAACCUGAUCAUCUAAGGUAGAUUUUAAGGAGCUGUUGAGACUUGUUUUCUUGGGACAAUCUGGGAAAUCUUAGGCCAUGGUUGUAGAUACCUUCUUAUAGUACUUUAUUUUUGUUUUUUUCCCACAGUUAUAUCAUGUUUAUUAUCCAGAGUCUUGCAUUCUUCCGUGUAUCAAUCUCCUAACAGAUGAUACAAAGCGUACUAGAGUUUUCACAUGUUUCUCCAACUGCACUGCGUGGGGAGAAAACUAGAUCCUCAGGCCUGGAACAAAUUAGCUUCAGGACGAUGUGGGAGCUUCCUGGAGACCUGAGACUGCAUAAGAAUCAUUUAACUUGAAAACAAGAUCAGAAAAUAAGAAAACAAGGUGGAUGACUCCCAAAUUCAUAUCUGUAACCCAGAUCUCUUCUCUGAGCUCCAAACUUGACGAAGCCAACUUCUUGACAUUUCUAUGUGAAUGUGUCAUAGUAGAGGGAUUCAGACUCAACCUCAGACUCAAGAAAGUAACCAAGAGACUAAAACACAUGGCAAAAUAGUUCCAGCACAGCUUCAGUAAAUAUAGUCCUAUAGUGAUGGAUUUCCUGUGAGUAAUCUUCUAACUUGUAAGAAAUUCUCUUAAAGCUUGCUCCAUGAUUGAUGUGUAAACCUUCUCCUGAAACACUAAUUUUCCAACUCCUUUUCGUUAUAGAAAAAUGUAAUGGAAAAAAAAACUCUUUAUUGGCUAUAUUUUAUUUAACACAAUGGUUUCAAUUCUUUAAUGUCCAUUAUAAAAUUGUAUAAAAUGGAUUCAUAAAUUAAUAUAUAAUA